UACGUAGGGUGCGAGCGUUGUCCGGAAUUACUGGGCGUAAAGAGCUCGUAGGCGGUUUGUUGCGUUGUCCGUGAAAACUCACAACUCAAUUGUGGGCGUGCGGGCGAUACGGGCAGACUGGAGUACUGCAGGGGAGACUGGAAUUCCUGGUGUAGCGGUGGAAUGCGCAGAUAUCAGGAGGAACACCGGUGGCGAAGGCGGGUCUCUGGGCCGAUACUGACGCUGAGGAGCGAAAGCGUGGGGAGCGAACAGG
rnacentral:rRNA from 1 species